rnacentral:lncRNA from 1 species
GAACCCCUACUACGGCCUGAGGGCAGGCCUAAGUCCAGGUGUGGGAGUACCUAUGUAGAGGAUGAUGAUGAUGAGGAUGAUGAAGAGCCCAAUCCCAAAUGCACACAACAAAGUCACGAGACAUAUGAAAGCAAGUGGAGAUCCGAACGAGAUGGGUCCUGGUAGAGCACAUAUGGACAAACUCUCCUGUUGUUUGAUGCUUAUUGUUAUGUUUGUAUUUCAGUUCAGUUGUUAUAUUGAGGAACUAUGUUUAGUUGUUUAUGUUUGGUGUUGUAAAGACUUUGAUGUUUUGAUUUAAUGAUUAUGCAUUAUCUGAUUAAGU